UGGAAACCUGGCAACAGAGGAACAGGCCAUUCUAGUUCUCUUCUCUUCUAGAACCAGAGGAUCUUUGAGUUGAGGCCAGGAAAGCACAAUCCCUGGUGAUCCAAGUACAACAAAGGCCUCUCUGUGGCAGAACCGCAAACCUCCCCGCAGGGACAGGUACAGGUGCGUUUCUUUCUGAUGACACCAAAGUCCUCUUUCCUGAUCUCUGCCAAAUCGUUUUGGAAUUUGUAUCCCAUCAUAAUUUGAAAAUUUGCUAAAGUGAAAAUGUAAAAAGGAAUUUCAAGGCCAGUGAUUUUGCAUUCAUUUUCCCUAAAGGUAGGUAAUUGGAAGAAAAUUACAAGAAAAAAGAUCAAUUUACCAGAUAAUCUGCCUCAAAAACAUCACAGAUCUGUUGUACUAGGUAGACAGAGCUGAAGCACAAGACAGCCCUUGUGCUUGCUGCCUCUGCAAAGACCACAGACAUUACAUAUGC
rnacentral:lncRNA from 1 species